GAUGAACGCUGGCGGCGUGCCUAAUACAUGCCAGUCGAGCGAACAGACGAGGAGCUUGCUCCUCUGACGUUAGCGGCGGACGGGUGAGUAACACGUGGAUAACCUACCUAUAAGACUGGGAUAACUUCGGGAAACCGGAGCUAAUACCGGAUAAUAUAUUGAACCGCAUGGUUCAAUAGUGAAAGACGGUUUUGCUGUCACUUAUAGAUGGAUCCGCGCCGCAUUAGCUAGUUGGUAAGGUAACGGCUUACCAAGGCAACGAUGCGUAGCCAACCUGAGAGGGUGAUCGGCCACACUGGAACUGAGACACGGUCCAGACUCCUACGGGAGGCAGCAGUAGGGAAUCUUCCGCAAUGGGCGAAAGCUUGACGGAGCAACGCCGCGUGAGUGAUGAAGGUCUUCGGAUCGUAAAACUCUGUUAUUAGGGAAGAACAAAUGUGUAAGUAACUAUGCACGUCUUGACGGUACCUAAUCAGAAAGCCACGGCUAACUACGUG
rnacentral:rRNA from 1 species